rnacentral:rRNA from 1 species
UACGGAAGGCAGCAGUGGGGAAUAUUGCACAAUGGGCGAAAGCCUGAUGCAGCUAUGCCGCGUGUAUGAAGAAGGCCUUAGGGUUGUAAAGUACUUUCAUCGGGGAGGAAAAACAAAACUAAUAAUUUUAUUUCUUGACGUUACCCGAAAAAGAAGCACCGGCUAACUCCGUGCCAGCAGCCGCGGUAAUACGGAGGGUGCUAGCGUUAAUCAGAAUUAUUGGGCGUAAAGAGCACGUAGGUGGUUUUUUUAAGUCAGAUGUGAAAUCCCUGGGCUUAACCUAGGAACUGCAUUUUGAAACUGAAAUACUAGAGUAUCGUAGAGGGAGGUAGAAUUCUAGGUGUAGCGGUGAAAUGCGUAGAUAUCUGGAGGAAUACCUGUGGCGAAAGCGGCCUCCUAAACGAAUACUGACACUGAGGUGCGAAAGCGUGGGGAGCAAACAGGGAUUAGAUACC